ACCUACGGGGCGCAGCAGUGAGGAAUAUUGGUCAAUGGCCGCAGGGCUGAACCAGCCAAGUCGCGUGAGGGAUGACGGUCCUAUGGAUUGUAAACCUCUUUUGUCAGGGAGCAAAGGGCGCCACGUGUGGCGCUUUGCGAGUACCUGAAGAAAAAGCAUCGGCUAACUCCGUGCCAGCAGCCGCGGUAAUACGGAGGAUGCGAGCGUUAUCCGGAUUUACUGGGUGUAAAGGGAGCGUAGACGGCUGUGCAAGUCUGAAGUGAAAGCCCAGGGCUCAACCCUGGGACUGCUUUGGAAACUGUGGG
rnacentral:rRNA from 1 species